rnacentral:lncRNA from 1 species
CAUGUCAUAACAUGAAAAAAACAUUCCAUGUCUUCAAAUCUCCCAAAACAAAAAACAAAUUUGCAAACCCCUAUUUUUGUCUUUAUAGGGUUUUUGAAAAAAAAGAAAAAAAGAAAGAGAAGUGAGAAACAAAAAUGUGGAGAAAAGAAAAGAAAAAAGGAAGGGUGUUUUACCUGCUCCUUGAAGAAUUUCAAUGAAAUGAGGGUGAGAGCACUGUCAAAUGAGAGCAAGUACCGUGAGAGUAAUUUGUGAGAGCAGAGGUUACAUUUUUGGUAUAC